UGGGUGGUAAUGCCGGAUGUUCCACAUGAGCGCAUGCGAGUGUGGGAAAGGCUUUUUGCGGCAUGGGAUGGGGUCGCGUCCUAUCAGCUUGUUGGUGGGGUAACGGCCUACCAAGGCGUUGACGGGUAGCCGGCCUGAGAGGGCGACCGGCCACAUUGGGACUGAGAUACGGCCCAGACUCCUACGGGAGGCAGCAGUGGGGAAUAUUGCACAAUGGGCGCAAGCCUGAUGCAGCGACGCCGCGUGCGGGAUGGAGGCCUUCGGGUUGUAAACCGCUUUUGUUCAAGGGCAAGGCAGGCUUUCGGGCCUGUUGAGUGGAUUGUUCGAAUAAGCACCGGCUAACUACGUGCCAGCAGCCGCGGUAAUACGUAGGGUGCUAAGCGUUAUCCGGAUUUAUUGGGCGUAAAGGGCUCGUAGGCGGUUCGUCGCGUCCGGUGUGAAAGAUCCAUCGCUUAACGGUGGACCUGCGCCGGGUACGGGCGGAUAGUGCAGCCGCAAGACGGAAUUCCGGGUGACCCCCCGUGCCCCCGCC
rnacentral:rRNA from 1 species